GAAUUGCUAGUAAUCACAGGUCAGCAUACUGUGGUGAAUACGUUCCCGGGCCUUGUACACACCGCCCGUCACACCAUGAGAGUUGGGAAUACCCGAAGCCUGUGAGCUAACUUUUAGAGGCAGCAGUCGAAGGUAGAAUCAAUGAUUGGGUGAAGUCGUAACAAGGUAAC
rnacentral:rRNA from 1 species